rnacentral:lncRNA from 10 species
GCCGGCCCUGGGCCUGCUGCAGGCGCGGCGCUGCCGGACCAGAGCUUCCUGUGGAACGUUUUCCAGAGGAUGAAGCCCCACCCGCCCUUCAGGAUGCCAGCCUUGGCAACAUUGUGAGACCCUGUUUCUACAAAAAGUAAAUGAGUGUAGUGGUGCACGCCUGUAUUCCCAGCUACUUGGGAGGCUGAGAUGGGAAGAUCACUUGAGCCUGGGAGGUUGAGGCUGCAUUGAGCUGAGAUCAAGCCACGGCACUCCAGCCUGGGAGACAGAGCGAAACCCCAUCUCAAAAAAACAAAGAAAGUGGAUGCGCGCUGCUCCUGCCAUUGGAUCAUCGCAGCAUUUUUCUUUUCUCUGAUAUGCACCUUUUUCCUCAUCGUGGGGGCUCACGUUUUCAUAGUUCCCUCUCACUACUAGGUUGUGAGCUGCGUGAAGGAAGGUUCAUAGUUGUGUUGUAUGUACAGGCACACAAAAUUUGUCCUUGGAUAAACACAUAUCCUCUUCCUUCUUCUCUCUGAAUUUCUUUAUUUUAAGAAAAAAAUUAGAGAUGGAGUCUCACUGUCUUGCUCAGGCUGGUCUCAAACUCCUAGGCUCAAGUGAUCCUCCUGCCUCAGCCUAUACUAAUAUGAAUUCCUAUACUAAUAUGAUUGAAAUUAGUUUGAUUUCUAUAAUAAUUGUGCUCCCAGAUUGGGCUUCUGUUUUGAUAGUAGAACUAAAUUAUUAGGCUAUUUCAAGAAAUUAAUAUAUUACUGGUAGAAAAACUGAAGCUACAAAAUGGCCUGGUUUCUCACUUCAGUUAAAUUUGUGCUUCUGAGUGCUUGUAUUCUAGGUGAAACCACACUGAGAAGGUAUUUGUGGCCCAUACACUGAUUCCUUCAUGAGACUUGUUUGCACAGGAGAGCUGCUAAAAAUUACUGCUCUCAGGGAGGUCUGUGGUGAACAGGUAUGAAGAAGAAGACUGUUCUCUGCC